UACGAAGGGGGCUAGCGUUGCUCGGAAUUACUGGGCGUAAAGCGCACGUAGGCGGGUCGUUAAGUCGGGGGUGAAAUCCUGGAGCUCAACUCCAGAACUGCCUCCGAAACUGGCGAUCUUGAGUUCGGGAGAGGUGAGUGGAACUGCGAGUGUAGAGGUGAAAUUCGUAGAUAUUCGCAAGAACACCAGUGGCGAAGGCGGCUCACUGGCCCGAUACUGACGCUCAGGCGCGAUAGCGUGGGGAUCAAACAGG
rnacentral:rRNA from 1 species